AGGCGCCCUGGUCGGCAGCGCGGCCUUCAAAUCCAUC
rnacentral:tRNA from 13 species